ACGUAAUGCUCACAACUUUCCCUCUAGACCUAGCUGCUCUUGAAGUUUCCUUCUAUUAAUGGAUAAGGUUUUUUCUACUAACAUAUAGAAAUUUUUAAAGGAAGAAAAGCCAGAAAUACCCAAUAUCUUGUUGGAACAAGAUAUUGGGUAUUUCUUUGUUUAUUCUUAAUCUUUCUAUUCUGAAUUCAGUUAACGACGAGAUUUAGUAUCCUUUCUUGCACUUUCAUAACUCGUGAAAUGCCGAGUAGGCACGAAUUCUCCCAAUUUGCGACCUACCAUAGGAUUUGUUAUGUAAAUAGGUAUAUGUUCCUUUCCAUUAUGAAUCGCGAUUGUAUGGCCAACCAUUGCGGGUAGAAUGCAGAUGCCCGGGACCACGUUACUAUUGUUUCUUUCUCCUCCUUCAUAUUGACCUUUUCGAUUUUUGCCAAUAAAUGACGAGCUACAAAAGGAUUCGUUUUUUUUCGUGUCACAGCUGAUUACUCCUUUUUUCAUUUUAAAGAGUGGCAUCCUAUGUCCACUAUCUCGAUCGAGGU
rnacentral:misc_RNA from 1 species